rnacentral:rRNA from 1 species
UACGGAGGAUGCGAGCGUUAUCCGGAUUUAUUGGGUUUAAAGGGUGCGUAGGCGGAUUUUUAAGCGUGAGGUGAAAUGCCCAGGCUCAACCUGGGAACUGCCUCGCGAACUGGGAGUCUUGAAUGCCCCUGCCGUGGGAGGAAUGUGUGGUGUAGCGGUGAAAUGCAUAGAGACCACACAGAACACCGAUUGCGAAGGCAUCUCACGAAGGGGUGAUUGACGCUGAGGCACGAAAGCGUGGGGAUCAAAC